GAUGAACGCUGGCGGCGUGCCUAAUACAUGCAAGUCGAGCGAACGGACGAGAAGCUUUCUUCUCUGAUGUUAGCGGCGGACGGGUGAGUAACACGUGGAUAACCUACCUAUAAGACUGGGAUAACUUCGGGAAACCGGAGCUAAUACCGGAUGAUAUUUUGAACCGCAUGGUUCAAAAGUGAAAGACGGUCUUGCUGUCACUUAUAGAUGGAUCCGCGCUGCAUUAGCUAGUUGGUAAGGUAACGGCUUACCAAGGCAACGAUGCAUAGCCGACCUGAGAGGGUGAUCGGCCACACUGGAACUGAGACACGGUCCAGACUCCUACGGGAGGCAGCAGUAGGGAAUCUUCCGCAAUGGGCGAAAGCCUGACGGAGCAACGCCGCGUGCGUGAUGAAGGUCUUCGGAUCGUAAAACUCUGUUAUUAGGGAAGAACAUAUGUGUAAGUAACUGUGCACAUCUUGACGGUACCUAAUCAGAAAGCCACGGCUAACUACGUG
rnacentral:rRNA from 1 species